rnacentral:SRP_RNA from 1 species
GCCGGGCGCGGUGGCGCGCGCCUGUAGUCCCAGCUACUCGGGAGGCUGAGGCAGGAGGAUCGCUUGAGCCCAGGAGUUCUGGGCUGCAGUGCGCUAUGCCGAUCGGGUGUCCGCACUAAGUUCGGCAUCAAUAUGGUGACCUCCCGGGAGCGGGGGACCACCAGGUUGCCUAAGGAGGGGUGAACCGGCCCAGGUCGGAAACGGAGCAGGUCAAAACUCCCGUGCUGAUCAGUAGUGGGAUCGCGCCUGUGAAUAGCCACUGUACUCCAGCCUGGGCAACAUAGCGAGACCCCGUCUCUU